rnacentral:tRNA from 1 species
GGAAACAGGCCUUGGCUCAGUGGCAGAGCAUUUGCUUUCCAUGCGGAUGUUCCCGGUUCAAUUCUUGUGUCUCCA